UCAAGAACCUUCCACAAUGGACGAAAGUCUGAUGGAGCGACGCCGCGUGAUCGAUGAAGCCCUUUGGGGUGUAAAGAUCUUUUAUAGGGGAAGAAGUUUAUUGACGGUACCCUACGAAUAAGAGGCUCCUAACUCUGUGCCAGCAGGAGCGGUAAUACAGAGGCCUCGAGCGUUAUCCGGAAUCACUGGGCGUAAAGGGUGCGUAGACGGCACUGUUAGUCUUUUGUUAAAUCCCCGGGCCUAACCCGGGAACCGCAAAAGAAACGGCAGAGCUUGAGUAUGUAAGGGGUGUGCGGAACUCAUGGUGUAGGGGUGAAAUCCGUUGAUAUCAUGGGGAACACCAAAAGCGAAGGCAGCACACUGGUACAUAACUGACGUUCAAGCACGAAAGCGUGGGUAG
rnacentral:rRNA from 1 species